GACGAUCGCUGGCGGCGUGCCUAAUACAUGCAAGUAGAACGCACAGUUUAUACCGUAGCUUGCUACACCAUAGACUGUGAGUUGCGAACGGGUGAGUAACGCGUAGGUAACCUGCCUGGUAGCGGGGGAUAACUAUUGGAAACGAUAGCUAAUACCGCAUAAUAUUAAUUAUUGCAUGAUAAUUAAUUGAAAGGUGCAAUUGCACCACUACCAGAUGGACCUGCGUUGUAUUAGCUAGUAGGUGAGGUAACGGCUCACCUAGGCGACGAUACAUAGCCGACCUGAGAGGGUGAUCGGCCACACUGGGACUGAGACACGGCCCAGACUCCUACGGGAGGCAGCAGUAGGGAAUCUUCGGCAAUGGACGAAAGUCUGACCGAGCAACGCCGCGUGAGUGAAGAAGGUUUUCGGAUCGUAAAGCUCUGUUGUAAGAGAAGAACGGGUGUGAGAGUGGAAAGUUCACACUGUGACGGUAUCUUACCAGAAAGAGACGGCUAACUACGUG
rnacentral:rRNA from 1 species